AGUCGUGUGGCUUCGUGGUCGUGCGGCUAGUGUCACCAAGCAUUUAGUCGCAUCGUGCUAAGGAGCGCGGGUUCGAUUCCCGCCGCAGCUG
rfam:Aedes albopictus isolate Foshan contig144601, whole genome shotgun sequence.